rnacentral:rRNA from 1 species
GGGUUGUGAGGUUAAGCGACUAAGCGUACACGGUGGAUGCCCUGGCAGUCAGAGGCGAUGAAGGACGUGCUAAUCUGCGAAAAGCGUCGGUAAGGUGAUAUGAACCGUUAUAACCGGCGAUGUCCGAAUGGGGAAACCCAGUGCAAUUCGUUGCACUAUCGUUAACUGAAUACAUAGGUUAACGAGGCGAACCGGGGGAACUGAAACAUCUAAGUACCCCGAGGAAAAGAAAUCAACCGAGAUUCCCCCAGUAGCGGCGAGCGAACGGGGAGCAGCCCAGAGUCUGAAUCAGCUUGUGUGUUAGUGGAACGGUCUGGAAAGUCCGACGGUACAGGGUGAUAGUCCCGUACACCAAAAUGCACAGGCUGUGAACUCGAAGAGUAGGGCGGGACACGUGGUAUCCUGUCUGAAUAUGGGGGGACCAUCCUCCAAGGCUAAAUACUCCUGACUGACCGAUAGUGAACCAGUACCGUGAGGGAAAGGCGAAAAGAACCCCGGCGAGGGGAGUGAAAAAGAACCUGAAACCGUGUACGUACAAGCAGUGGGAGCACCUUCGGGUGUGACUGCGUACCUUUUGUAUAAUGGGUCAGCGACUUAUAUUCUGUAGCAAGGUUAACCGUAUAGGGGAGCCGCAGGGAAACCGAGUCUUAACUGGGCGUUAAGUUGCAGGGUAUAGACCCGAAACCCGGUGAUCUAGCCAUGGGCAGGUUGAAGGUUGGGUAACACUAACUGGAGGACCGAACCGACUAAUGUUGAAAAAUUAGCGGAUGACUUGUGGCUGGGGGUGAAAGGCCAAUCAAACCGGGAGAUAGCUGGUUCUCCCCGAAAGCUAUUUAGGUAGCGCCUCGUGAACUCAUCUUCGGGGGUAGAGCACUGUUUCGGCUAGGGGGUCAUCCCGACUUACCAACCCGAUGCAAACUACGAAUACCGAAGAAUGUUAUCACGGGAGACACACGGCGGGUGCUAACGUCCGUCGUGAAGAGGGAAACAACCCAGACCGCCAGCUAAGGUCCCAAAGUCAUGGUUAAGUGGGAAACGAUGUGGGAAGGCACAGACAGCCAGGAUGUUGGCUUAGAAGCAGCCAUCAUUUAAAGAAAGCGUAAUAGCUCACUGGUCGAGUCGGCCUGCGCGGAAGAUGUAACGGGGCUAAACCAUGCACCGAAGCUGCGGCAGCGACACUAUGUGUUGUUGGGUAGGGGAGCGUUCUGUAAGCCUGCGAAGGUGGCCUGUGAGGGUUGCUGGAGGUAUCAGAAGUGCGAAUGCUGACAUAAGUAACGAUAAAGCGGGUGAAAAGCCCGCUCGCCGGAAGACCAAGGGUUCCUGUCCAACGUUAAUCGGGGCAGGGUGAGUCGACCCCUAAGGCGAGGCCGAAAGGCGUAGUCGAUGGGAAACAGGUUAAUAUUCCUGUACUUGGUGUUACUGCGAAGGGGGGACGGAGAAGGCUAUGUUAGCCGGGCGACGGUUGUCCCGGUUUAAGCAUGUAGGCUGAUUAUCCAGGCAAAUCCGGAUAAUCAAGGCUGAGGUGUGAUGACGAGGCACUACGGUGCUGAAGUAACAAAUGCCCUGCUUCCAGGAAAAGCCUCUAAGCAUCAGGUAACAUCAAAUCGUACCCCAAACCGACACAGGUGGUCAGGUAGAGAAUACCAAGGCGCUUGAGAGAACUCGGGUGAAGGAACUAGGCAAAAUGGUGCCGUAACUUCGGGAGAAGGCACGCUGGUGUGUAGGUGAAGUCCCUGCGGAUGGAGCUGAGACCAGUCGAAGAUACCAGCUGGCUGCAACUGUUUAUUAAAAACACAGCACUGUGCAAACACGAAAGUGGACGUAUACGGUGUGACGCCUGCCCGGUGCCGGAAGGUUAAUUGAUGGGGUUAUCCGUAAGGAGAAGCUCUUGAUCGAAGCCCCGGUAAACGGCGGCCGUAACUAUAACGGUCCUAAGGUAGCGAAAUUCCUUGUCGGGUAAGUUCCGACCUGCACGAAUGGCGUAAUGAUGGCCAGGCUGUCUCCACCCGAGACUCAGUGAAAUUGAACUCGCUGUGAAGAUGCAGUGUACCCGCGGCAAGACGGAAAGACCCCGUGAACCUUUACUAUAGCUUGACACUGAACAUUGAGCCUUGAUGUGUAGGAUAGGUGGGAGGCUUUGAAGCGUGGACGCCAGUCUGCGUGGAGCCAACCUUGAAAUACCACCCUUUAAUGUUUGAUGUUCUAACGUUGGCCCCGGGUUGCGGACAGUGUCUGGUGGGUAGUUUGACUGGGGCGGUCUCCUCCCAAAGCGUAACGGAGGAGCACGAAGGUUAGCUAAUCCUGGUCGGACAUCAGGAGGUUAGUGCAAUGGCAUAAGCUAGCUUGACUGCGAGCGUGACGGCGCGAGCAGGUGCGAAAGCAGGUCAUAGUGAUCCGGUGGUUCUGAAUGGAAGGGCCAUCGCUCAACGGAUAAAAGGUACUCCGGGGAUAACAGGCUGAUACCGCCCAAGAGUUCAUAUCGACGGCGGUGUUUGGCACCUCGAUGUCGGCUCAUCACAUCCUGGGGCUGAAGUAGGUCCCAAGGGUAUGGCUGUUCGCCAUUUAAAGUGGUACGCGAGCUGGGUUUAGAACGUCGUGAGACAGUUCGGUCCCUAUCUGCCGUGGGCGCUGGAGAAUUGAGGGGGGCUGCUCCUAGUACGAGAGGACCGGAGUGGACGCAUCACUGGUGUUCGGGUUGUCAUGCCAAUGGCACUGCCCGGUAGCUAAAUGCGGAAGAGAUAAGUGCUGAAAGCAUCUAAGCACGAAACUUGCCCCGAGAUGAGUUCUCCCUGAGACUUUAAGUCUCCUGAAGGAACGUUGAAGACGACGACGUUGAUAGGCCGGGUGUGUAAGCGCAGCGAUGCGUUGAGCUAACCGGUACUAAUGAACCGUGAGGCUUAACCUUACAACGCCGAAG